rnacentral:rRNA from 1 species
UACGUAGGGACCGAGCGUUGUCCGGAUUCAUUGGGCGUAAAGAGCUCGUAGGCGGUCUGUCGCGUCGGCUGUGAAAUCCCGAGGCUCAACCUCGGGUCUGCAGUCGAUACGGGCAAACUGGAGUGUUGCAGGGGAGACUGGAAUUCCUGGUGUAGCGGUGAAAUGCGCAGAUAUCAGGAGGAACACCUAUUGCGAAGGCAGCUCGCUGGGACGUAACUGACGCUGAGACGCGAAAGCGUGGGGAGCAAACAGG